rnacentral:rRNA from 1 species
UAGAGUUUGAUCCUGGCUCAGGACGAACGCUGGCGGCACGCCUAACACAUGCAAGUCGAGCGGGAUCUUGUGGAAUGAGUCUUCGGACAAGUGAAGCAAGUGAGAGCGGCGGACGGGUGAGUAACGCGUGAGUAACCUGCCCUAUACAGGGGGAUAGCCACUGGAAACGGUGAUUAAUACCCCAUAAGACCACGCCGUCGCAUGACGAAGUGGUAAAAACUGAGGUGGUAUAGGAUGGACUCGCGUCUGAUUAGCUAGUUGGUGAGGUAACGGCUCACCAAGGCGACGAUCAGUAACCGGCCUGAGAGGGUGAACGGUCACACUGGAACUGAGACACGGUCCAGACUCCUACGGGAGGCAGCAGUGGGGAAUAUUGCACAAUGGGGGAAACCCUGAUGCAGCGAUGCCGCGUGAACGAAGAAGGCUUUCGAGUCGUAAAGUUCUGUUCUUAGGGAAGAAAAUGACGGUACCUAAGGAGAAAGCACCGGCUAAAUACGUGCCAGCAGCCGCGGUAAUACGUAUGGUGCAAGCGUUGUCCGGAAUUACUGGGCGUAAAGAGUUCGUAGGCGGUCAAAUAAGUCAGAAGUGAAAGGCUACGGCUCAACCGUAGUAAGCUUUUGAAACUGUUUGACUUGAGUACUGGAGAGGAAAGUGGAAUUCCUAGUGUAGCGGUGAAAUGCGUAGAUAUUAGGAGGAACACCAGUGGCGAAGGCGGCUUUCUGGACAGUAACUGACGCUGAGGAGCGAAAGCGUG